rnacentral:rRNA from 1 species
AUAACGUUCUGAAAAGAACGCUAAUACCGCAUAACAUCAAUUUAUCGCAUGAUAGGUUGAUCAAAGGAGCAAUCCGCUGGAAGAUGGACUCGCGUCCGAUUAGCCAGUUGGCGGGGUAACGGCCCACCAAAGCGACGAUCGGUAGCCGGACUGAGAGGUUGAACGGCCACAUUGGGACUGGGACACGGCCCAGACUCCUACGGGAGGCAGCAGUGGGGGAUAUUGCACCAUGGGGGAAACCCUGAUGCAGCAACGCCGCGUGAGGGAAGAAGGUUUUCGGAUUGUAAACCUCUGUUCUUAGUGACGAUAAUGACGGUAGCUAAGGAGAAAGCUCCGGCUAACUACGUGCCAGCAGCCGCGGUAAUACGUAGGGAGCGAGCGUUGUCCGGAUUUACUGGGUGUAAAGGGUGCGUAGGCGGCGAGGCAAGUCAGGCGUGAAAUCUAUGGGCUUAACCCAUAAACUGCGCUUGAAACUGUCUUGCUUGAGUGAAGUAGAGGUAGGCGGAAUUCCCGGUGUAGCGGUGAAAUGCGUAGAGAUCGGGAGGAACACCAGUGGCGAAGGCGGCCUACUGGGCUUUAACUGACGCUGAAGCACGAAAGCAUGGGUAGCAAACAGGAUUAGAUACCCUGGUAGUCCAUGCCGUAAACGAUGAUUACUAGGUGUGGGGGGUCUGACCCCCUCCGUGCCG